rnacentral:ncRNA from 5 species
CGUAGGUGAACCUGCGGAAGGAUCAUUAU